GCAGACAGAUCCUUCAGCCUCAGGAAAGCUUCUUGAUGACGCGGUCCUGGCUGACAACCGGACUGCAACCUCAUGAGAUACCCUGAGCCAGAACCACCAGCUAAGCCACUUCUCAAGUCCUGACUCACAGUGCUGCAAGAUAAUAAACGUUUUGGAGUCAUUCGUAACACAGCAAGUGAUAAUGAAGAUACGUGGGUUGAGUGGGGCUUUGCCUAAUAUGCCCUAGUGCCUCCUGAAAGUGAAUGAGGCCAGCUGGGAUGACUAGGCACUGCUCAGAGAGCUGGGGGUUUCUGGCUGUUCCUUUGUUUGCCCGUGGUGGCCAGCAUGUUUGCAGUUGGGAGGAUUCUUCACCAGUCUAACACAUGCCUCAGUUUUCUAGGCUGGCACUGCACAGAGAUGGAACCUGAUGAAACGGCCCCAUUUGAGCGCCUGCUGUAUCGCGUUGGCUCUGCUUCCUGCAGCUGUGCUCCAAGAUGAGCCUUUCAGACAUCGCUCCCUAAUAGCUCCAUCUCCCCCAGUCCAGGAGGAUGCGCAUUCCUCUCCUCAUUCACAUGCACCACUUCAAGCCAUCUGCACGCUCUACAGGGGACUUGCCGCCUAACAUCCUAAUGUGCAACCCCAUCCAAAUCCUCUGCUGGAAUCUCACUAUUUGCACCACUUACGCUCCUGGAGCGUGAAACAGAAGGGCCAGUCCUCUUGUCUCUUUAUUCUAAGUGUUUAAUACAGAUUCCAUGGACUUGGUCCAUAACAAUAUGAGUGUGGUCUUACAUCAGUCCUUUUACUAAUUUCUCAUCAUCUCCCUCAUCCUUGUCCUUUAGUGAUUGUUCCAGACCUUCUCUUCUUAUCCUCAUACUCUCCUCUUUGGUAUAGUAGUGAGUAAAAGAAAGAAAGAAAAAAAAGGUCCUAGUGUGACUCAUAUCUUCAUGGUUUAUUUACUACCUGGAGGAUUUUUGAGGCUAUGAACAUUGUUUUAUUUUUUGCUGUAUCCCCAGCACCUAGCACAGAUAUGUGUGUGUAUCAGGGCCUGUAUGUAUAAGCUCUCCGAUGCUGCUAUAACAUGUAGUUCCCCAGUCAAAACUAAGUAUUAUUAAAGCAGCAUUUUGGACAGGG
rnacentral:lncRNA from 1 species